rnacentral:misc_RNA from 1 species
CUCAAGCUUGCAGAACCUUGGGUUAGCGGA